UCUCAGCUAGGUCAUAAUGAGAGGAACGAACCAUCUUCCGGAACUUCAAGCGAGCCUCUCCUACUCUUCCGGCCGUAUCCCUCAACCGGAGUCAUGUUUCUCCAUGCACCAAAGAAACUGAUGCAAAGGGCGUCUCCAACCUCACUUCCCUCACUGUAAUCGAACCGCGCUUCCGUCUUCUACCCAAAUUGGAUGAGGUAGCUUAUUCGUAACGCGAUUCGCUUCGCCCGAUUGGAUCUUGAAUUUCAGCGCCUCAACAUUCUCAUCGUCGUGUUCGUUGUUCCGGAUUUGAAUCGCGAAGGCUUGAUUUCAACUAGUGCGUGCGCAUUCAACGUUCAUCGGUCAUGGCGGCGCUGUAUUCAGACUUACGCACCGUGAAUUGCAACAUGUUUGAACCGCAACAAGGACGGGAAAGAAGACAUACCGGAUUUUGAGAUUCGACGUUUUAGGUACUGAACACUUUUUGAUUCACUUCACUUCGGUUGGAUCUUCACUCGCCUUCUUCUUCUGGUUUUCUUACAAGGCGUGAUGCGGGAUGGAGCUCUUAGCAAGGGCUUGAGGAAUUCAAGUGUUGAAAGAUGGAGAUUGCAUAAUCAUGCCUUGAAGAUUCAGAACGAAGAAUUGGCGGUUGCAGCAGCGCUUAAGUAGAAAAGCUGGAAAAAGCCAAAGAGUACGUUUUGUGCACAUUGGCGUCUGGUAGUGCUCUACGCCGUUGCGACCGUGCACGAUUAUUUCCAGGCUUCUUCUUUCAACCUCUACUGUAGAUUCGACUACCUUCGCAUAAUCGGUUAUGACGCGGCGACCAAAAUUGGUGAGUUGCAGGUCGCUGUGGCAAUCGUGGUGUGACAAGGUUGAGAAUGGUUGCAGUUGAAGAAGAAGACUAGAGGGAAAAGAAGAUUGGAGAAUGAAGGUUGAAGAAUUUGAAGAAGUGAUUGAAGGUUGAAGAAUUUGAAGAAGUGAUUGAAGGGUGAAGAAUGAAGAUAUGGAAAUUUGGAAGUUAUUCAAAUGGUGAAGGGAGGACUUGGAGCAUAACGGCAAUCGGAAAUUGAGCGGUUUGAGGAUGUUAGGACGUUUCUUUCAAAUGCAACACAAUGUUGAUUGAAGAUCUAUUCGGUUGACUGCUAUCCUCUACAGGUUGUGAUUUGCUGAUCCUAUUUCUAGAGUUGAGAUUGGUUUCCAUCAUCAGAAAAACAGGUUCAGGACCAACUUGUGGACCCAAAAGGCUGCGUUGGCAUGUUUGGAUCAAUAGCAUCGCCAGUUAACAACUGUCUGGGAAAAUUAUUCGGUAGCAUAAGACGAUUAUGACCAAGCAAAUCCAAUUGUAACGGUCAAUGUGGAUACUUCCUGGUUGAUAAAAAUCCAAAUCUGCUUCGGUUGGCAGCAACGGCAUGGGAAGCGUUUGGUAUGUGCCGAAGGAUUGGCGAACCGGCUUAUUUUAGUCUUGGUGUUUUAGACUUUGUAGGUUUAGUUUGGUAGGAUUGUCAUGAUUGUAAUAACAUAGGAUUUGAACCAAAAUAAAUAGAACUUUACACAAAAUCAAAUUCAUUUUGAAAGUUGAGUGUGAUUGUAAUUGACAUCAUGGAAAUGUGAAUGUGUUUGUAAAUUUGGAAGUUGAAUGGAAAAUUUGUAUAGAAAUGGAAUGGAAAAAAUGUGGUUUGGUUCAA